AGUUGUAGCCGAUGAGUCGGAAACUCUCGACUCAUUUUCUUCAGAAACUAGAGGUGAUUGAGACUCAACCGGAUCUCUAGAAUCGCGUUUUUCGGCAAUUAAAGGUGACUCAGCCAGCUCUGCUUUUUCAGUUGUAGCCGAUGAGUCGGAAACUCUCGACUCAUUUUCUUCAGAAACUAGAGGUGAUUGAGACUCAACCGGAUCUCUAGAAUCGCGUUUUUCGGCAAUUAAAGGUGACUCAGCCAGCUCUGCUUUUUCAGUUGUAGCUGAUGACGCGGAAACUCUCGACUCAUUUUCUUGAGAAACUAGAGGUGACGGAGGCUCAACUGGAUCUCUGGAAUCGAGUUCUUCGGCAAUUAAAGGUGACUCAGCCAGCUCUGCUUUUUCAGUUGUAGCUGAUGACGCGGAAACUCUCGACUCAUUUUCUUGAGAAACUAGAGGUGAUGGAGACUCAACCGGAUCUUUGGAAUCGCGUUUUUCGGCAAUUAAAGGUGACUCAGCCAGCUCUGCUUUUUCAGUUGCAGCAGAUGACUCAGAAACUCCAGACUCA
rnacentral:lncRNA from 1 species